GACACAGUGGUCCAACGGCUAAGAUGGCUGUCUUCCAUUAAUCAGGUAAAUCCUGAACUGUGUAAACAGCCGACCCGGGUUCGACUCCCGGCUGUGUCA